rnacentral:rRNA from 1 species
AAAUUGAGAGUUUGAUCCUGGCUCAGGAUGAACGCUGGCGGCGUGGAUAAGGCAUGCAAGUCGAAUGGGUUUAGACCCAUGGCAAACGGGUUCAGAUAACAUAGGAAUCUACCCUCGAGUCGCGAAUAAUCCGGAGAAAUCCGGAAUAAUACGCGAUGCCCUCUACGGAGGAAUGAUUUAUCGCUCGAGGAGGAGCCUGUGUCCUAUCAGCUUGUUGGUGAGGUAAUGGCUCACCAAGGCUAUGACGGGUAGGGGGUGUGAGAGCACGGCCCCCAACAUUGGAACUGAGACACUGUCCAAACACCUACGGGUGGCUGCAGUCGAGAAUAUUCCACAAUGGACGAAAGUCUGAUGGAGCGACGCCGCGUGCGGGAUGAAGGCCUUCGGGUUGUAAACCGCUUUUCUACGGGAAGAAUUACGAUGACGGUACCGUAGGAAUAAGAGGUUACUAACUCUGUGCCAGCAGUAGCGGUAAUACAGAGACCUCAAGCGUUAUCCGGAUUUAUUGGGCGUAAAGCGUAAGUAGGCGGGCAUGUUAGUCGGGCGUCAAAGCUCGGGGCUCAACCCCGAAAAGGCGUCCGAAACGGCAUGUCUAGAGAGUGUGAGAGAUCGAUGGAAUUCAUGGUGUAGUAGUGAAAUGCGUUGAUAUCAUGAGGAACACCCAAGGCGUAGGCAAUCGAUUGGCACAUUUCUGACGCUCAGUUACGAAAGCGUGGGUAGCGAAUGGGAUUAGAUACCCCAGUAGUCCACGCCCUAAACGAUGCAUACUAGGUGUGGGGAGAAUCGACCCUCUCUGUGCCGUAGCUAACGCGUUAAGUAUGCCGCCUGGGAAGUACGAGCGCAAGCUUAAAACUCAAAGGAAUAGACGGGGAUCCGCACAAGUGGUGGAGCAUGUGGUUUAAUUCGACGGUAAGCGAGGCACCUCACCAGGGUUUGAAAUCUAGCUGCAGGGCCCAGAAAUGGGACGUCCUUCGAGGGUGCUAGACCAGGUGCUGCAUGGUUGUCGUCAGCUCGUGUCGUAAGAUGUUCCGUUCAGUCGGGAAACGAGCGCAACCCCUGUGAAGUGUUAUACAUGUCACUUCAGACUGCCCUCUCAAUCGCGCACAAGGCGCUCUAUAUUUAAAAGUUUAAAUAUUUAAAUAUAUGUUCGCUUUGCGAAUGAUUGAGAGGGAGGAAGGCGGGGAUGACGUCAAAUCAGCAUGGCCCUUUGACACCUUGGGCGACACACGUGCUACAAUGGCCGGAAUAAAGGGUCGCGAAAUCGGAAGAUGGAGCCAAUCCCAAAAAUUCGGUCUCAGUUCGGAUUGAAGGCUGCAACUCGCCUUCAUGAAGCUGGAAUCACUAGUAAUCGUGAAUCAGCCACGUCACGGUGAAUGCGUUCUCGGAUCUUGUACUCACCGCCCGUCACACCAAGAGAGCCGGCAAUACCAGAAGGCCCCGGGUUAAAUCGGGGACGACGGUAGGGUUGGUAAUAAGGGUGAAGUCGUAACAAGGCAUCCGUAGCGGAAGCUGUGGAUGAAUCACAUCCUUUCU